AUGGAGGGUCUCUUCCAGCCCACCACGGUCGAUGCCGCAGCAACCAGUGGCGCCACCCCCACCCGCAUCUCAACCACUGCCGCCACUCCCACCAUCGAUGCGGCCGCAACCACCAAUACCUCCCGCUAUCCACCCUGGGUUCCCCUCGAGGAGGAGGCCAACCUCAAGGACUGCGAGAACGCCACCACCGCUGAAGCCCAGACGAGCACCGGCCACAUCGUCAAGGUGACCUUCGUUCUCGCGGACCCGCCGUCCGUCUCCCGCUUUUGCGUUCAUGGGCCUGAACUCAAAGGACGGAACUUCGACGCUGAGCCCCGGGUUGUUUUCUCGUAUAAUGACCACCUUCUCCUCCGCUUUGCCUUCACCCUCGGCCCCCGUAGUACCCUUCACGAAGCUCAUCUUUCCGAAUACUUUGUCUACAAGGCUUGCCCUGGCAAACCGUCAAUUACACCGAUCCCAACUGCUUAUCGACCUGACAAGGCUAAAUCAUAUCUCGCAAUCUUGCCGUGCAGCGACGACUACGAGAAUUUCGUUGUCGCUGAUCUCGCCAUGACACAAAACCUUGGGCACUAUGUCCUCCACAUCUUUUCAUCAAAGAUGAAGAAGUUGGUCGCCAAGCCAUUACAGUUGCAGGCAUCUUCUGUCGUGAUAGAGGAAGACCUGCCUAGUCUACCCCAUAAGGUGAUAGCGCUUGGAGCAGAUACCAUAGGUUGGAUCGACCUCUGGCGAGGCAUUGUUGUCUGCAACUUGUUUGACCCGGACCCCGUUCUUAAUUUUACCCCACUACCGAAGCCUGAAUUCAACUUGGAGCGGGAUGGUACUCCACGGCCAUACCGUGAUGUUACCUUCUGCAAUGGUUUUAUCAAGUUUAUGGAGAUUUAUCACUGUGUCAUACCUGAUAGUCAUGAUAGCGAUAACAUGAUGAAUUUCAAGACAAUGAAGGAUCUUGACAGCACAGAUGUCAUCUACGAUUCAGAGCUUUUCUUCCAAAACAGUACUGAUCUAAUGGAAGAUGAAGAACCCACUUUAAACGAUGCUUGGAAGAUACGCACAUGCUAUAGGCAUACUUCUUGGAACCUUUGGUGCAAGGGGCACAAUGUUCAUGUUGAUGACAUCUUGGUCAACAACCAGAUGCAUUCUAUGAUGUUGCCUGAGCUGUGGGAUGGUAGCACUGGAAAGUUCACUCUUAGGAAUCUGAUAACAGGUUACCCGACCCUUUGCAUUCAUAAUGGUGAUGUUGUCUACCUUGUUAGUAAGGUGGAGCUUUUUGGUAGUAAGGCAUGGGUGAUUGGCGUUGACCUUCAAAAGAAGACAGUGGAAGUAAUCAAACCAUAUUCUGCUCACAGAUGCAAUCUGUCCCAGACACCCUUCCUUGCCUGUACGUUCUCCAGAUAUUUAAAUACCACUCCAAGGUAUGUUUGUUCUUCUCACUCUCUUUGUGUAUUUCUAUUCCUUGAACCCCUGAACACCAUGAUAGAAUCUGUCCAUAUUCCCACAAAUUAUUUAUUAUACUAUAUGCUUUCUAACUAUUUGCUACAGGUCAUGUGUGCCAGAUGA
rnacentral:rRNA from 1 species